rnacentral:rRNA from 1 species
CACAGUGUAGCAAUACAUGGGUGGCGACCGGCAAACGGGUGCGGAACACGUACGCAACCUUCCUUCAGGCGGGGAAUAGCCCAGAGAAAUUUGGAUUAAUACCCCAUAAUAUUUUGAGAUGGCAUCAUCUUAUUAUUAAAGCUACGGCACCUGGAGAUGGGCGUGCGGCUGAUUAGGUAGCUGGCGGGGUAAUGGCCCACCAAGCCUACGAUCAGUAGCUGAUGUGAGAGCAUGAUCAGCCACACGGGCACUGAGACACGGGCCCGACUCCUACGGGAGGCAGCAGUAAGGAAUAUUGGUCAAUGGACGCAAGUCUGAACCAGCCAUGCCGCGUGGAGGAUGAAGGUCCUCUGGAUUGUAAACUUCUUUUAUCUGGGACGAAAAAAGGGUUUUCUAACUCGUCUGACGGUACCAGAUGAAUAAGCACCGGCUAACUCCGUGCCAGCAGCCGCGGUAAUACGGAGGGUGCAAGCGUUAUCCGGAUUCACUGGGUUUAAAGGGUGCGUAGGCGGGCAUUUAAGUCAGUGGUGAAAUACCUGAGCUUAACUUGGGAACUGCCAUUGAUACUAUUUGUCUUGAAUGUCGUGGAGGUUAGCGGAAUAUGUCAUGUAGCGGUGAAAUGCUUAGAUAUGACAUAGAACACCUAUUGCGAAGGCAGCUAACUACGCGAAUAUUGACGCUGAGGCACGAAAGCGUGGGGAUCAAACAGGAUUAGAUACCCUGGUAGUCCACGCCCUAAACGAUGAUUACUCGACAUUAGCGAUACACUGUUAGUGUCUGAGCG